AUUCCAUGAUGAGGGCAUUUUCAAAAAAAUUCUUUGUACCUUUCCCAUGCCUCAUACAAGGACUCAUCAUCCAUUUGUUGGAAAGUAGUGAUCUCAUUCCUUAACUU
rfam:Gossypium hirsutum cultivar TM-1 chromosome 1, whole genome shotgun sequence